GCCAUUUCAUUUCAUUCGGCCACGUUUCGUCUCAAAACAUUCUUGAGCCACAAGUAUCAUCUCAAAUUUUCUUAUUUAAAACAUCAUCCUUUAUCAUCUCAGUUAUCAUGCCAAAAACGCAGCAAUCUUUAAGAUCAUUUGUGCUCUUUUCUCUGUAAAGGUAAUUUUAUUAUUUCUGCAAAUUUUCAUUUUCCUACAGUUCACUUCUAUAUCUGCACAAAAUACAAUUUUUAAUAAUUUUAAACUCUCACAAUUCAUUUUACUCUCAAAUUCUAAAAUCCCCAACUAUCUUCAAAUUCAAAAGUCAAACAGAAGAUUCAAAAGCCUUUCCGUAAAAUUUGUAUUUCCACAGCAGCUAAAUUUUGAAGCAGCAAACUUUGAUUGAUCUCUUUCACACGUUUAUGUUCAAACAAGUAAUUCAAUCUAUUUAAACCUCAUUGUAUUAUUCUCAUUCCAUCAGUUUCAAAUCAUAAACCAUCAACAGAUUUCUCCAUUUGCUCUUUUCACAAAAUAAUUCAAUCUGCCAUUUCUCACUGCACAUCAUCAAUCGGUAAUUCUCAUAAACUUGUAUAGUUUUAUUUUCAUAUGCAAAGAUCUCUGCUUUCUUUCAAUUUACAGAAAACAACCAAACUCCCACAAAAUUCUUAUUUUUAUAAAUCCAAACAUGCAUACACACAUCAUUAGAUCUAGUGUUUGUAAUUCAUAAGAAAUCGAAAAGGAAUACAUAUUCAUUGAUUUUACAGAAAACAAAUUUAGAUUUAGAAACCUAUAUUGAUAAAGGGAGUUGGGAUGAAGUGGGAUGAGGAGCUACCCGCCGGAGCAGGGGGCGGCGUCAGAUGGUUGUCUGGCCGGAUCCGACGGAGGUGGAGACAGGGGCAGCGGCGCUAGGUCUCGGCGUUCUGGUCGGACAGAGGAAGGAGGCGGCUGGGCGGCGCCGCUGUCGACGCAGGGGCGGCGAUGGUGGUGCUGCUGUUGGCCAGGAGAGAAAUAGACGGUGAAGGCGACGCCGGGCAGGAGACGGUGGCGGC
rnacentral:lncRNA from 1 species